rnacentral:rRNA from 1 species
AUGCCCUUCCUGGCAUCCGCCUCCUCCGGGGCAUCUCCAGUCACCGGCCACCACAGCAAGGUGCAUUUCUUGCUGGACGGAAUCGAGGAUGCAGCGGAGAGCGCUGCCGGAUCGCAGCAACCGCCGGUGUCUCUGGCGAAGAGUCUGGCUGCUCUCGCCGAGGACUCAACCGUUGCUGCUCAGAGGCAGCGGAAGCCCCUGUCACGGAUGGAGCGCAAGAGGCUGGCCGAGCUCCAGAUGAAAAAGAGGGUCAAGGCGCAGUAUUUGAACGGCAAGUUUUACGAUCUCAUGGGCGAGGUGGUGGCUAGUGCCAAUACGUUGGAGGAUGCUUACGACAUUGUCCGGCUGAAUUCUAAUGUCGAUCUGGCGUCUGCAAGGGACGAUGUUUGCUUUAGCGCAUUGGCAGAGCAGCUCAGAAGAGGAGAGUUUGAUAUCACUGUGAAUUCUUUCUCAGUAGUGGCAAAGAGGCAAGGAGGAGAGCGCAUUGUUCUUCCACGUCUCAACUUGAAAGUUAUCCAGGAAGCAGUUAGGGUGGUGCUUGAGGUUGUUUACAGACCUCAGUUCUCCAAGAUAUCACAUGGCUGUCGGAGUGGGCGAGGAUAUCACUCAGCUCUAAGGUUCAUAUCCACUGAAAUUGGGGUUCCAGAUUGGUGCUUUACUGUCCCCUUGUACAGGGUGAAGCAAGAGAUAUGGGAUGCUAUGAAUCUUAGGUUAGGAAAGAAGUGGUUGGCAUAUGGUUUGAGGAGGGUAAAGGAGUCUGAGAUCAAGUCCCUUCGUCUUAGUACUCCGUUGCUGGAUCACAUUGCAGAAUUUAGGAAAAAGGGCAUGAAGACAGACCAUUGGUUCAAAACUUUACUCAAGGUAUGGAUGCAGGACAUCAAUGCCAAAAAUGAAGCUAAUGAGGAGGUGCUCCUGUCAAAAUACAUUGCUGAACCAGCACUUCCGCAGGAACUCAGAGAUGCUUUUAACAACUUUCAGAAUUAUGGCUCGUCUUCCCUUAAGUGCGAGGCGUGGAAGGAGAAAUGCAAUAUUUUUGAAUCUGACUACUUCCAUUAUGCUUAAACUGUUGCUACAGAAGCACUGUUGUCCAGCUUAAAGAAUCAGGAAUCAAUGUAUACCUGCCCUGAUGAUCCUGCCAUUAAGAUUUAUGCGCCUCUUAGUUAUAUCAAGAAGUGCCUCAAUCGCUAUGGUGUAACUAAUCUUGAAGGGUCAUGGUCACGGCACUCUGAUUCCAAGAGGCUGGACGUCUGCUGUUCCAAGGUCAUGAUUUACAUGACCAUCCAAGUUCAAUCAAUAAGUAUGCUGCUGGCAAAGAAGGCAUCAAGGGGUCGCCGCCAUGAGGGUCCGUCAUUUGUUUUAGUCGCUCUCAGGGAUUAUCAGGGACACAUCAACCCCAUGCUCCAUUUCGCCACCGCUCUCGUCGAUGCCGGCGUCCAAGUCACUUUCCUCCACACCGAGCACAACCUCCGCCGCCUUGCCCAGGCACCUCUGCCGCCUUGCCUACGCUUGCUUUCUAUCCCCGACGGCCUCCCUGACGACCACCCUCGCAGCUUCUUGGAGCUCUUGGAGUCCAUGUGCACGACUAGCAGCGCUACGUACCGUUCUCUGCUCUUGUCUGCCGACGCCCCGGUGACAUGCGUUGUUGCCGAUGGCACCAUGCAGUUCACCAUUGACAUCGCUGAGGAGCUCGGCAUCCCGGCGCUCGCCUUCGCCAUGCACGGCGCCUGCAGCUACCUGGCGCUCCUGUCGAGGUUCGCCGCAAGCGCAAGCCUGUGGCAGGAGGAUGACGGGUGCAUGGCGUGGCUAGAUGGCCACGAGGACCGGUCCGUCGUGUACGUGAGCCUGGGGAGCCGCGCGGUGAUCACACACGAGCAGUUCACCGAGUUCCUCUCCGGCCUGGUAGCUACCGGGUACGCCUUCCUCUGGGCGCUCCGGCCGGACAUGGUCCAGAUGACCAGCUCCACGCUCCUCCGAGAAGCCAUCGGGGCAGUGGAGGGCGGCAAGGCACGCGUUGUCGAGUGGGCUCCUCAGCGGGACGUGCUGCAGCACCGGGCGGUGGGCUGCUUCCUGACACACGCCGGAUGGAACUCGAAUCUGGAGUGCGCCAUGGAAGGCGUGCCGAUGGUGUGCUGGCCCUUCUUCUCCGAGCAGCAGAUCAACAGCCGCUUCGUGGGCGCCGUGUGGAGGACGGGGCUGGACAUGAAGGACGUCUGCGACAGAGGCGUCGUUGAGAGGACGCAGUUGAGGCUGAAUGUCGCGGAGCUGGGGUCGUCGUCGUCGUCCGAGUUGGAGCGGCUCGUCCGCUUCAUCAGGGAGCUCAGCAUCAGAGCCAUCCCCUAUGCAACUGUUACUGAGAAGGUGACAACCGCCAACGUUGAGCUGCUACAAAGGCAGGCUCAGAGACAGAGCAGAAGGGUGGUCCAUGGACCACCCUGUCCACCCCCUAGAUACGCCACUGUUCUGAAUCCCAAUGGCGUGGAGGCCCGGCCUGCGCCUACCGGCGGUCAUGAGAAGAAGCCGUCCAGCGCCACCUUCUUUGUCUUCGGGGAUGACCUCGCCGACAAUGGGAACCUCCCUCCGACCGGCCCCGUCACCCAGAUGUCGCGGCAAUGGGCCUACCCCUACGGCUCCAACUACGUCGAUGCCGACGGGUUUCCGCGGCCGAAUACUCCGUCCGGCCGCUUCUCAAACUAUAAAAUCCAGUCGGAUUUCAUCGCAACCAUGUUGGGGUUGGAGGAAGCCCCUCAGGCGCAUGCCCUCACGGCCAAGAAAACAUGCGACCCGUCUGGCAUGACCUUUGCUACCGGUGGUGCAGGUGUGUUGCACAGUACAUCGCACGAGGUCCCCGCCCUCGCCAAACAGGUCGACACCUUCAGGAAGAUGGUCAAGGACGGGACCAUCACGGAGAAACAACUGAGUCACUCCGUAGCGCUCAUGGCUUUCUCUGGCAACGACUAUGCAGGCACCGGCGUCAGUGGCCUAAGUAGCCCCAACGAUAUUAAUGCUUAUAUUGGGAAGGUGACAAAAGAGAUUGCGGCUAAUGUGGAUCAAUUGUUGAAGCUCGGGGUGACAAAGGUUCUUGUCAAUAACUUGCACCCUAUCGGUUGCACGCCAUCACACACCCGAAUCAACAACUACACCACGUGUGAUAUUUUUGAAAACUUGGGUGCAUCAAUCCACAAUGAUAAUCUGAAACAAGUUAUGACAUCAAAGAAGAAUGUCUACAUCGUGGACGUGUACACCGCCUUUAUCAAUAUUGUGGAUCAUGGGGCAGGUAAAGGCUCAGAGCUGUCUAAACAAUUCAAGCGCAAACUAUCGCCGUGUUGCGAGAGUUUGGAUUCGGGUGGUUACUGCGGACAGCAAGGCGAGUCAUCCACAGAGCUUUUGUACACUGUGUGCGACAAUUCAAAUAGAUUUUUCUAUUGGGAUGACAUGCACCCGACCCAUGCAGGAUGGGAGGCUGUUAUGAAACAGUUGGAAAAACCCUUGAGGGAGUUUGUAAAUCAAGCCUAG